rnacentral:rRNA from 1 species
UACGGAGGAUCCAAGCGUUAUCCGGAUUUAUUGGGUUUAAAGGGUGCGUAGGCGGUUUAUUAAGUCAGGGGUGAAAGACGGCAGCUUAACUGUCGCAGUGCCUUUGGUACUGAUGAACUUGAAUGUACUAGAAGUAGGCGGAAUGUGACAAGUAGCGGUGAAAUGCAUAGAUAUGUCACAGAACACCGAUUGCGAAGGCAGCUUACUAUGGUAUUAUUGACGCUGAGGCACGAAAGCGUGGGGAUCAAACAGG